AGUGCCCAGCAGCUGCCUCCUCACCCUAGCUGAGCUGACCACAAGAUUCCAGACCUCAGCUGGAGCUGCAGCCUCAUACUGGCUGAGUGGCUCCAAGACACAGAAGGAAGCAGGGUGGCAGGCUGACCUCAGCCAGCUGCCUGCCCCCUCUCCUCUGAGGCUGGCCUGGGACCGAUGGGGCUCUUCCCUCCAGGAGGGGUUUCCGGGCCUCCUCUUUUCCCCUACCUCCCUGUGGAGAACUGUCCACCCCUCCAGAUAUGCUCCAGUGAUGUCGGAGGGGAUGCCUCAAUCUGGCGAGACGCAGCGGCAACAAAAUCUGCUCAGAGACAAACGGACAUGUUGCUGAUAUGAAUCUCACUUGGUGAGGAAACUGAGGCUCAGAGAAGAAACAUCAUUUUCCCAGUGAGCCAAGGCAAUGGUGUUAGAACUAUCUCUACCUGGCUCCAGAGCUUGUGUUUAUGCCCCUGCACCGAUACGGCCUUCCAUGAAGCCCGGCCCAGAAAGCUUUGGAGUCUGGUUACAUCUCUGCCAUGCAGGCCUGGCCUUCCCAGGACAAGAGGUAACGAGAUGUGAGCAGAAACAACCUGUGUCACACCUGGGCAGAAGCUUUAAAGGCCAGUGCUGCCCUUGUUGGGGAAGCAAGUAUAGAUAUGAAUCGUUCCACAACGCGGAGCGCCCCCUGCCGACCCAUGCUGGGCGUGUACUAUAGAUGAGGAGACUGAGGAUCAGAGAGAUAAAGUCACCUGUCCAAGGUCAUACUGUGGAUGUAGCUCUAACCCAAGCCCUCCCGACUGCAGCACAAAUUCUCAGCCACUACCCUAUUAGCCCCUUCAUUUGAAGGUGUCUUCAUCAUGGCCAAUAGAAAUAGAAUGUGAGCCACAGACAUAAUUUAAACUUUUCUUGUAGUCACUUAAAAACAUGGUAAAUCUAUGAAAUAGAAGAUUGCUCGUGCAAAUAAAUGAACUCUGCUUUGGUCUCAGUGA
rnacentral:lncRNA from 1 species